CUCUUCCUUCUCGAUUGACUGCCGCUCUCCUAUCUCUCUCUCCUGCUCUCUUUCCGAUUUCUUUCUCUGGCGUCGAUUUCCUGCUGGGUCGUGGACGGUUCCAAGCAAAUACAAAUGGAGGCUUUUUUCUCUUUCCGGUUUGGAUCUCUCACUUCCCUUCCGCUUUGGUCGAGAGAAGCUUAGAACUUUUUUUUUUUUUUUUCCGCACUCCUCCCCUCUCCUCCACAGUCCACACCUAUAUCCUUGCUCAGUCAUGGACGUUUCCUUUUCUUCCAGACAUUGGAUUUUUGGCUUGAAGAUUACAAAACAUGCUGGCGGUUAUUAUGUGACGCAGAGGUCCUCAAGAAGUGAUUUGCUCGGUGUCACUGCUAAGUAGUAGGUAUGCAUCAUUAGUGCAUGUAAUUACGAUCCACUUGAUCUUGUAUUUUUGCUUCUGCAAUGCUGCUUAUCGCAAUGACUUCUAUGGCUCUGCAGGGCUUAUCAUUUAAGAUGCUUUAUCUUAUUAAUUUAGCAUUUUCCAGCGUUUAGGCUGUCCGUCUAUGAAUUGCAAUUGCGCCUUUGUUCAUCAGUGGAAUAAGCAUGACUUCUUAUUGUUUUAUGUUAUUAUGGACUCUU